rnacentral:rRNA from 1 species
AUUGAACGCUGGCGGCAGGCCUAACACAUGCAAGUCGAGCGGAGCGGCAGACGGGUGAGUAAUGCCUAGGAAUCGGCCUGGUCGUGAGGGAUAACGUCCGGUAACGGGAGCUAAUACCGCAUCCUAUCAGAUGAGCCUAGGUCGGAUUAGCUAGUUGGUGGGGUAAAGGCCUACCAGGGCGACGAUCCGUAACUUGGCUGAGAGGAUGAUCAGUCAGACUGGAACUGAGACACGGUCCAGACUCCUACGGGAGGCAGAAGUGGGGAAUAUUGGACAAUGGGCGAAAGCCUGAUCCAGCCAUGCCGCGUGUAUGAAGAAGGUCUUCGGGUUGUAAAGCACUUUAAGUUGGGAGGCGUUACCAACAGAAGAAGCACCGGCUAACUUCGUGCCAGCAGCCGCGGUAAUUC